GGAGUUUCGCCCGUAAUUUUGGCAGUUAAAAAAUGGCGACACGGUUAAAACAAGUAGGUAAGGGUGGGUAAGUAGUUUUGAAGAUGGAAAGAAUAUUGAAAGGUUGCAACAGGUUAGGCUGUAAUUUAAACAAGUAAAAAAUCACUUUUUAUUAUAUUCACAGUUUUUUGACUUUUUUUUUUUAUUUUCCAGUCGUUAUACAAGGAUCGUCGUAAACUAAGAUACAACAGGGUAAGUUACUCAUCGCUUUCAGGUAAACAAGAACACUGUCUUUUUAUGAUGAUUCAUUUUGAAUUCGGACACAAAAAGCAGAAACGGGAGACCCAAAGAAAUCAAGCUUUUCGUACUACUUCAAACCGGAGGAAUUAAGUCUUAAACGGUUCAAUAAUGCAUUUAAUAUGGGCAGAAGCACAUAACGAUAUCCCACACUAGGAAAGCCCAAAGCAAGGCUAAUUAAUCCAAGCAACGAACCAAACGUCAAACUAAACAUCAACGAGAAUAAAAGUACAAUUAGGCUAAAUUUAAGAAAUACACUUUGAUGUUUAAACCAUUGAUAGCCCUCUUUGGAUACCUCUUCAAUAGACGAGUAGCUAUAGCGCGACAUAAGACUAGGACGACCAUCAUUUUCUAGAUGUGGAGAUUGCCCAAUUGGAGAUUCAUCCUUCAAUUCUCUUUUGAUAUCGAUAUUCUGUUCAGUCAUUUUGUUUUGUGGCAAUUUAGUUUAAUAUUC